GGUCAAUCUGCCUUCCUUAUCGAUGGAUCUAUUUUUUUGAUCUUUAUGUCACGUUAUGUUAAACACAGAUUUUGAUUUGAUAUUCAAGACACGAUAUGCAAAAAUUGUGCCGUUUUGCAUUUAUUUCAAUUAUUGAGAUUUAUAACCGGUGAUGUGUUUUGAAUCGGAAAGAUCGUAUCGCUCAAACACGGUAGUCGUAUGAUCUCUCUCUCUCUCUCUCGGUCAUGUUCUGUUUCAAACAGCUCGAAAUAAUCAAGAAAUUUCAAGAUAAUUACGUUCAACAGUCGAUAAAAUCUGUCCGGUUAAUUGUAAAUUCGGGGAGAGAUCCACAUUAAAAAUGGAGAGUUUUUUAAAAAAAUUUUUUGCCGGCGAGAAGAAUUUUUUUUUUUAUUUUAUUUCCGUCUGGAAGAUGUCGAGCGUAACGAAAUUUUGUGUCAUUCGAUUUGACAUUGAGGAAAUUGGUUUUAAUUGUGAAAACCGGCUGGCAUCACGUGAUGGCGCAACAAUUUAUCCGUUGAAAAUGGUUGAAGGCAUUAAUCACUUUUAUCGGCAUUAAAAAUAGUUAGCGUGUUGCUUUUAAUUGCCAGAUUAAAACUCUCUCUCCGUUUAUGUGCAGCGUGUUUCGCCUGUUUGUUCGUCUUGUAAUGUUGGUUUCGUCCGAUCGUUUCUGCUAACGGGAAUUUUCUUGACAAAUAAUUAAUUUGCCAACACCAACUUGAAUAAAAUUGGAAUCGCGGAAGUAUUGUUGCGCCUAUUUUUGUCCCCUUUUUUUAUCAUAUUGUAGAUUUUUAUUCUGUUAUCUCUGGUUUCUUAUUCACGUUCUCGGUCACCUUUAGUCAUUGUCCCUGGUGAUUUGCACACGGAAUCAGUUUUCUCCGACUAUAAUAACAUUUCUUAUUGUAUGCUAACGUUGAACAAAUGUUUUUUCUUUUUUUUCCUUUCCUGUUUUUUGUUAACUAAUUCUUUUUUAAAGAAAAUUCUAUAUAUCCGCGUAAAUAUCGUCAUCCAGUUUUUCUGCAUUAAAUUUUCAUUAAUAUACUGCAGUUUUUUUUUUUUGUCGGUAAGUUUUGGCACG
rnacentral:lncRNA from 1 species